rnacentral:rRNA from 1 species
GACGAACGCUGGCGGCGUGCUUAACACAUGCAAGUCGAACGAUGAUGCUCCAGCUUGCUGGGGUGGAUUAGUGGCGAACGGGUGAGUAACACGUGAGUAACCUGCCCCCUUCUUCGGGAUAAGCUUGGGAAACUGGGUCUAAUACUGGAUAUUCUGCAAUUGUCGCAUGGUGGUUGUGGGAAAGAUUUUUUGGUGGGGGAUGGGCUCGCGGCCUAUCAGCUUGUUGGUGGGGUGAUGGCCUGCCAAGGCGUCGACGGGUAGCCGGCCUGAGAGGGUGACCGGGCACACUGGGACGGAGAUACGGCCCAGACUCCUACGGGAGGCAGCAGUGGGGAAUAUUGCACAAUGGGCGCAAGCUUGAUGCAGCGACGGCGCGUGAGGGAUGACGGCUUUCGGGUUGUAAACCUCUUUCGAUGGGGAACAAGGCCAUAGUGUUGUGUGGUUGAGGGUACCUGUAGAAGAAGCGCCGGCUAACUACGUG